UACGGGGGGGGCAAGCGUUGUUCGGAAUUACUGGGCGUAAAGGGCUCGUAGGCGGCCAACUAAGUCAUACGUGAAAUCCCUCGGCUUAACCGGGGAACUGCGUCUGAUACUGGAUGGCUUGAGUUCGGGAGAGGGAUGCGGAAUUCCAGGUGUAGCGGUGAAAUGCGUAGAUAUCUGGAGGAACAUCGGUGGCGAAGGCGGCAUCCUGGACCGGUAUUGACGCUGAGGCGCGAAAGCCAGGGGAGCAAACGGG
rnacentral:rRNA from 1 species